GAGAAGAACCACAUUCUAUCUAUGGAAUGUGUUAUCUCAUUAUGUGAACCCGUGUACCUAUCACAUUGCCUCUCACCAAAUUCCUUCUGUGCUGAAACAAAAACAACAACAGCUACAACAGCAAAAACAAAAACUAAGCUUCAUUAAGUCCUGAGACCAGAAUAUAGGCUAUUCUCAACUGAAGGUUUGGCUGACUACACCUGUGAACAAAAUUUUGCCUGAUGCCUGUUGGGAAGUUUGCCCACCCCUGUCAACUGCACCACUUAAUGCCUCCAAGAGAGACGACAUCACAGGGUUAGGCACAGACUGGCUUCUUUAUGACAUGAAAUCAGGUGGAGUUCUGCAAAGUGAGUUUUGAACUUACCCCAAUAGUGGAAUUAAAUUAAAUAUGCAAUCAACCAACUUAAAACUACAAGUGGUUCCUGCCAAUGUUUUCACUCAGCCCGGCACGAUUCUGGACUUCAGAUAUGAUAUGAACUCCUCGACACCACCUCUAUUUUGUGAGACCUGGUGGAAGCAGAGUGGAGCCCUGGGGAAAUUGCAGAGCCCAGCAAGAUGGUCUUUGUUUCCUGUUCCUCUGCCCUUUUAACUCCUUGGCAAUGCCCCUGUCCACCUCUCAGCCCUCUUCAUCCUGGAUCCGCUCCACUAAUCAAAACAAGAAAAAAGAGGCUAUCAUUUAUUUAUGGUUAGGAGGAAAAUCAGAGUCAGGGUUACCAGGCCUGGGACCCUCUCUUCAGGAAUAAUGGUGCAUUUUUCAGUAACCUCCACAGUUCUCAUCCUUGAGGACCUCCAGCUUCACCAAGCAAGUUCUAGGUCAGGGACCCUGGCAGGUCAGCACACAAGGAAAGAGGAGCUAUGAGGCUAGUGCUGGCCCUGCCUACAUCAGUCAGGCCCAGACAAGGCAGCCAGGGAUGGGAUCCAUAUCAGAACAAAUACUGCCUUCCAUGGAGGGCAAAGGCCCUCAAGUCCAGGGAUGCAGAGAAGGCUUUUUCAGGCCUUUUUCCUGAGGCUCAACAGGGCAGAGCUGAUGGUCAUAUUGAGUCCUAGAGCCCCUACUUGGGCUAUAACUCAGGGAAAAUGAUCUCAGGCUGUUUUUUUUUUUUUUUAAUUAACAUUUUAGGCACCCACUCUCCUCUUGUGGGGUGGGAGGUUCUACCCUUUUUAAAUGACAUCUCAGACAUGAGCCACCUAAGCUGCCUGUCUGCUGGGCACUGGGGGUGGGGUGGGAGUCUAGGCGCUGCCCUGAGCCCAGUCUCCAGGUCUCUGGGAGACCCUGCUCUGGGUUGGAGCAGUUCCCAGGGCGACCUCGCAGGCUGCUUCUGAGCGGUCACUGGAUGGGGUCAGGUCAUCUCGGCUACUUCAGGGCUACUAACAGCGUGGCCCAAGCAAGGGCUGGGGCAUCCGGGCUCCCCGGGCUGCAGCCCCAGGCCAGAGUUCUGCCCUGUGGGGUGACCACCUCUCUUCCUGGCUCUCCCCACUGGCUCCCUCCCUUUGCUGCCUUCACAGAGGCUGGGGCUCCCUCUCCCCUCAUUCCUCCCCUUCCUUUAGCCUCUGUUCUUUCCUCCUCCUGUGCAAAGAUUUCCAGCUCCACAGAGCUCAUUUCCUGAGUAUCAUCUGUCCAUCUUUGGACUAAGUCUCUGCCUCCAGGCAGAGGCACCGGAAGCUUGGACCAAAACUGGAAGCUGGAAGUGAGAAGCAGGAAGCAGUUGUUUCUGCUGCUUCCAGAUUCCUUCCUUUGGGGCUCAGGAAACUUCACCCCGGUCAAGACCAGUGAGAUUAGGGAUGCAGAGAAUCCUACCCUUAGGGCUAAACUGUAGAAAAUAUUCAGGAAGAUGGUUAACCAGGAUGCUGAUUUCAGCUACAAAGUAAGGUGAGAUAAGAAAAAUUAUCAGGAAGCUACUGCAGAAAUGAUUUCAAUAACUAUCAUAUAAAUGAGUGACAUGAUCCAUGGUUACUUGUCACGGGGUGGAUAAACAAGUAUGCACAUCAAAAAAUGUCAACCUAACUUUAAGGCAAGUUUUCAUUAAUUAUAGAGGCAAAUCCAGCUGAUAUAUGUCCCACUUUCCUGGUGAAUUCUCAGGUAGCAUGGUCUAAAAGACAAUUAGAGACACUGGCCUGUAAUGAACACUGUGUGGACACCUCAUUGUGAAUAUUUUAUCAAACAUGUUACUUGGGUUUCCUUCUUUUCAGAGUUUACACGUCAUGUAAAAAUUGA